GACGAACGCUGGCGGCGUGCUUAACACAUGCAAGUCGAGCGGUAAGGCCCUUUCGGGGGUACGACGAGCGGCGAACGGGUGAGUAACACGUGGGUGACCUGCCCUCAGCUCUGGGAUAAGCCCGGGAAACUGGGUCUAAUACCGGAUAUGACUUCAUGACGCAUGUUGUGGAGUGGAAAGCCUUGUGCGGCUGAGGAUGGGCCCGCGGCCUAUCAGCUUGUUGGUGGGGUGAUGGCCUACCAAGGCGACGACGGGUAGCCGGCCUGAGAGGGCGACCGGCCACACUGGGACUGAGAUACGGCCCAGACUCCUACGGGAGGCAGCAGUGGGGAAUCUUGCGCAAUGGGCGAAAGCCUGACGCAGCGACGCCGCGUGAGGGA
rnacentral:rRNA from 1 species